AAUGAUAGUAUGCAAAGAACUUGAAAGAAGAUUCAUGUCGCUUAUAUGAUGCUGUGGUUUGAUGAUAAAAUGUUAAGCUUACAAUUUAGUUUUUGGCAACUGCCCACUAAGUACUUUUGUACUUAGCCCUGCAUAUGUUUAUGAAUGUGCAGGUUGAGCUGUGAUGAACGAUGAAGUGUUGCUGAGUGGAGCUUUUGUCGAACUUAGAAUAGGCUCAGAAAUGAUAUGUGUCUGCAUACAUGUAUCUCAGUCUUGCCUUCCGCUG
rnacentral:lncRNA from 1 species